UAAGGGGAUCUCAUAAUUAGCCGCGCUCGUACGGGCUCAUCCAAUAAAGGCGAAGCCCUCGCGCGACCGGCCGCAAAAGCCUACAAAACGUGGCUGUGCAAGAAGAAGAAGAAGUCCGGCCACGCGACGAUAUCGACGCGUGUGCGCGCUUCGCGGUACGCCUCGCACGUUCCAGUGAAGCAAAGAGAAACGAUCGAGGGAACCAGGUUUUAAAUAACUCCGUUUCUCCCUUUCUGCCUGCCAUCUUACCCCUCUGGUGUGCCACCUACGACCCCGAUACGUAGCAACUCUUGUCAGCUUGAGAGGGGCGGCUCUACUCUUCCUAACGCGACCGGAAUCCCAAGUCAACGAGAAAUUUAGUAAUUGCAACGAUGGCGUUACAUGCGAGCAGAUAGGGACACGGUUGUAAAUUCUUCAGCUGAUUUAGGAAACUUUCUGCUUGAUUCCGUACAUUUCUUAGUUAUAUACGCGACUCUUCUGCUAUUUUAUAGAUUAAAAUUUCGACUAACGCGGCUGGAAUUAACGAGACAACGGGAGAUUCGCUGUUUACAUCGAUGACAGUACGUAGGAGUAGAUGCAGCACUUGUAUCAUAUAUUAUACACAAUAUGAUUACAAAAACGUUAAAAAAGAUAUAAAUUUCGAAGAUGAGAGGUCUUCUAAAAUUUGCAAAGAAAUCUUCGUGAGUCGCUUCAACGACAUCACAAGGCUCACUUGACACAAGACAUGCCACUAUUCCGGAAGCAAUACAAGCUUCCACUAGUGUGACAAGACAACCGAACAUGAGCCAAUAUCGUGAAACUAAAAGACCUUCCAUUCAAGAUGGUCCCGGGGCUCUCCUACCAAUCGUCAGGACGAUCUCCGUGGAGGUUUUAGCUGUUAUGCCACUAUCAAUGCCAAUCAAUACGAUACGUACAAAUACUUUUCGUAAUCGCUAUACUUUGGUCUGUGCUGAAAUUCUCGUUACGAGAGACAUCAGCCAACAAGCGAAGCUCUUUCGCCCUCUAAUCAUACUCUGAAAAUAACCAUCGUAGAUGGACAUUGGACACUUUGUACAAUUAACUUAUCGAUAACUCGAUGACUGGGUGCUUUUACCAAUUUCCGGUUGGACCUGCUUGAUCGAGAAUGUUGGAAAGGCGUCCGGGUAUUUGCAGGAUGGAUACGCAAUCAACGACGUAUGCGCAUAGGUGAGCACACAAGUCGGACCAAUUGCAUUAUGGCAUGACGGUGCUCCAACUUUCCUGCAGUUCGUAAACUGUCUAAUUCAAGAGGAGAGACCGCCUGUUAAUUGCCAGACGAUAAUUAAGUUUGAAGGCAGGAGGACACCGGUCCUUCCGGCCAGCGUCCUUCGUUCCGGUUAAUUUUCUCGAUGAUCGACACGCUGCACGUAAUUUCAGUGCUUGCUUCGACGAUUCGACGAACGAAAAAGAUACGAUGAAAUUACGUGGUAAAAGGGCGCCGACAAAAGGAAAAGUGAACUGAUAAUUAUCGUGCUUCGAUUACGUUACGGCAACAGUGAAUUUCUCAUUAGCAUGUUAACGAGUGGUAUGUCCUUCCGAUGGGUUAAUUAGCUCGCGGUUUUUCACCGAAUUACUUGAAAUUACUCGAAUGUUUCUCCAUCUAAUAUAAAUUCCGACAGAAUUGCUUGCGUUCACAGCAAUUUUGUUGGACGGCGUACGAUAAAAUUGUCGAUGUAUGAUUUCUCUGAAAGUGUGUUAGCACUAAC